CCUACGGGGUGCAGCAGUGGGGAAUCUUGCGCAAUGGGCGAAAGCCUGCCGCAGCGACGCCGCGUGGGGGAUGAAGGUCUUCGGAUCGUAAACCUCUGUCAGCAGGGAAGACCGGUCCCUGUGCUAAUCAGCAGUGAAUUGCCGGUACCUGCAAAGGAAGCACCGGCUACCUCCGUGCCAGCAGCCGCGGUAAUACGGAGGGUGCGAGCGUUACUCGGAAUUACUGGGCGUAAAGCGCUCGUAGGCGGUAUGUCAAGUCAAGGGUGAAAGCCCCGCGCUCACCGUGGGAACUGCCUUUGAAACUGGCAAACUGGAGUGUGUGAGAGGAUAGUGGAAUGCCAGGUGUAGGAGUGAAAUCCGUAGAUAUCUGGAGGAACAUCAGUGGCGAAGGCGACUAUCUGGCACAUAACUGACGCCGAGGAGCGAAAGCGUGGGUAGCAAACAGGAUUAGAUACCCCUGUAGUC
rnacentral:rRNA from 1 species